rnacentral:rRNA from 1 species
GAUGAACGCUAGCGGCAGGCUUAAUACAUGCAAGUCGAGGGGCAGCAUGACUGUAGCAAUACAGUUGAUGGCGACCGGCAAACGGGUGCGGAACACGUACAGAACCUUCCUUCGAGCGGGGAAUAGCCCAGAGAAAUUUGGAUUAAUACCCCAUAGUACAACGGAGUGGCAUCACUUUGUUGUUAAAGAUUUAUCACUUGAAGAUGGCUGUGCGGCUGAUUAGGUAGUUGGCGGGGUAACGGCCCACAAAGCCUGCGAUCAGUAACUGGUGUGAGAGCACGACCAGUCACACGGGAACUGAGACACGGGCCCGACUACUACGGGAGGCAGCAGUAAGGAAUAUUGGUCAAUGGACGAAAGUCUGAACCAGCCAUGCCGCGUGGAGGAUGAAGGUCCUCUGGAUUGUAAACUUCUUUUAUAUGGGACGAAAAAAGGGUUUUCUAGCUCGUCUGACGGUACCAUAUGAAUAAGCACCGGCUAACUCCGUGCCAGCCGCCGCAGUAACAC